rnacentral:rRNA from 1 species
AUUGAACGCUGGCGGCAGGCCUAACACAUGCAAGUCGAACGGAGCGGCGGACGGGUGAGUAAUGCCUAGGAAUCUGCCUGGUAGUGGGGGAUAACGUACGGAAACGGGCGCUAAUACCGCAUACUAUCAGAUGAGCCUAGGUCGGAUUAGCUAGUUGGGGGGGUAAAGGCCUACCAAGGCGACGAUGCGGAACUGGUCUGAGAGGAUGAACAGUCAAACUGGAACUGAGGAACGGUCCAGACUCCUACGGGAGUACGCAGUGGGGAAGAGUGGACAAUUGGCGAAAGCCUGAUCCAGCCAUGCCGCGUGUGUGAAGAAGGUCUUCGGAUUGUAAAGCACUUUAAGUUGGGAGGCGUUACCAACAGAAUAAGCACCGGCUAACUUCGUGCCAGCAGCCGCGGUAAUUC